UACGUAGGGGGCAAGCGUUGUCCGGAUUUAUUGGGCGUAAAGAGCGUGUAGGCGGCUAGAUAGGUCCGUUGUGAAAACUCGAGGCUCAACCUCGAGACGCCGAUGGAAACCAUCUGACUAGAGUCCGGAAGAGGAGAGUGGAAUUCCUGGUGUAGCGGUGAAAUGCGCAGAUAUCAGGAAGAACACCCGUGGCUAAGGCGGCUCUCUAGUACGGUACUGACGCUGAGACGCGAAAGCGUGGGGAGCGAACAGG
rnacentral:rRNA from 1 species